UAAACUUUAAGAUUCUGAGAAUAUGAGAUAUUGUGGUUAAGAUACACAAAGAAAAAAAGGAUUUGGUUUUCCAACUCACUUUGACAUAUCCAUUGUAUUCCAGAUAUGGAUUUUCAGGAUACAAGAGUUCAACUGAAUGGCAUUUUUCAACAUCCAUUAAAAUGUGCUUAUUUCUUUUUUAAAGGAGACUUUGAGGUACAAAAAUGAAAAGAAUUGGACCACCCAAGAAAUGGACAAGACACAGAAUUUAUGAUGUCUUGUUUCAUACAUCAGUUAGAGCAUUACAUGUUUCUUAUGUUUUCAUGACAGGAUAUUUAAUAAUGCGUGUGAUUGGCUAUGUCAGAGUUGAUAAGCCUAAAUUCCUUGAGGAACAUAAAAAGAAAGAAGCUGAAAGAAUGGUAGAGCUACAAGAAAAAGCAGAGCGAGAGAGACUAGGAUUUUAGCAGGAAAGAAAGACAAUGUAGUAGAAUGCUGAACAUUUUGUGAUGAUAUUUGUGUGUUUUGAAUGUGUGUGUUGUAUGUAUGGUUUGUAUUGUAAAUAAUGGUUUACUAGGUUUUACAGAUGUACUAUACAACUUGUUGAAAAACAAUUAUUUUGUAUUUACAGCGUAAUUGUAAAAUUACACACAAACACACCCCUUGAAUUAUAUAUUAUGUGUGUGUGUGUGUGUGUGUGUGUAUAUAUAAGUUAAAUAGAGUUUUAAAUUAUUUAUGCACAUACACUAUAGAUCUUUUUAUUUCAAUAAAAGAUAUCAUCAGUAUUCCUUUACUCAGAAGCAAAUGAUACAUGUAUCAUGAAUGUAAACGUUUUUGUGCAAGUAAGAGGAAAUUCUUCUUUGUGAUUACUGACAACUAAUAAAAGUAUGAAAAUUAAA